rnacentral:rRNA from 1 species
GCGCGGAAGAUGUAACGGGGCUAAACCAUGCACCGAAGCUGCGGCAGCGACACAAAGUGUUGUUGGGUAGGGGAGCGUUCUGUAAGCCUGCGAAGGUGUACUGUGAGGUAUGCUGGAGGUAUCAGAAGUGCGAAUGCUGACAUAAGUAACGAUAAUGCGGGUGAAAAACCCGCACGCCGGAAGACCAAGGGUUCCUGUCCAACGUUAAUCGGGGCAGGGUGAGUCGACCCCUAAGGCGAGGCUGAAAAGCGUAGUCGAUGGGAAACGGGUUAAUAUUCCCGUACUGGUGGUAACUGCGAUGGGGGAACGGAGAAGGCUAGGUUGUCCGGGCGACGGUCGUCCCGGUUCAAGCAGGUAGGCAGAGUGAUUAGGCAAAUCCGGUCACUUAAUGCUGAGAUGUGAUGACGAACCACCAAGGUGGUGAAGCAAUUGAUGCCCCGCUUCCAGGAAAAGCCUCUAAGCUUCAGGUUACCAACAAUCGUACCCCAAACCGACACAGGUGGUCAGGUAGAGAAUACUCAGGCGCUUGAGAGAACUCGGGUGAAGGAACUAGGCAAAAUGGUGCCGUAACUUCGGGAGAAGGCACGCUGGCGGUAGGUAAAGUCCCUUGCGGACGGCGCUGAAGCCAGUCGAAGAUACCAGCUGGCUGCAACUGUUUAUUAAAAACACAGCACUGUGCAAACACGAAAGUGGACGUAUACGGUGUGACGCCUGCCCGGUGCUGGAAGGUUAAUUGAUGGGGUCAGCCGUAAGGCGAAGCUCCUGAUCGAAGCCCC